rnacentral:lncRNA from 1 species
CCCCCACUCAGGCUCCACGCGCAGGCGCCAGGCAGUGGAGCAGAGCAGAGCGGCGGCCGCGCUCUCGGCCUGGGUCCCGGGGGAGCGGAUUCUCCUCAGCAUGGCCCUUGGUGCUGCAGGUGUGGCGGGCGCUGGGCCCGGGCACCGAGGGGGGCACUGGAUGACUCCCCAGUUGCAGAAUCCUGCCAUCUAUGACUCCAGGCCUUCAGCACCCACCCACCGUGGUACAGACUGUGCUUGCGACUGGGGAUCUUGAGUCUCUGUUUGGAGGUCAUUGUGUGGAGAAGAGGUUUGGGGGUGCAAGGUAGGAAGCAGGCCACUUGGCACCUGUGGUUUGGAUCACAGAAGUAGUGGAGGGAAGUGGUCAGAGUUAGGAUCCAGAGCCAAUCAGUGGGAAUCGCCUUCUGAUGGACUGUGGGUGUGGAGGAGAAAAACAGGAUUCAGACAAUUCCCAGGCUCAGGGCCUGAACAGCUGGACAGUAGAGCACUUGCCUAGCAGGUGGGAGACCCUGGGUUCCAUCCUCAGCACCACACACCCACACACAAAGAUGUAGCCAGGGACCAGGGAUUUAGCUCAGUUGUUCCGCCGCCUGCCUCAAAAGCACAAGGUCCGGAGUUUGAUCCCUGGUACACACACACACAAAAAAUCAGUAUUAACCUGAAUUUACCUCUGGCCAGGGAUUUACCUCAGUGGUUUCAGGUUUCACACUUCUGCUUUGCAAGCACAAGGUCCCGAGUUCGAUCCCCAGUACCAAAAAACCCCAAAAACAACAACAAAAAAACGUAGCCAGGCAUGAUGGCACAUGCCUGUAGCCCUAGCUUUCUGGAGGCUGAAGCAGGAGGAUGCCAGGUUCAAGCCCAGCCUGGGCAAUGUGGCAACUUAGCAAGGGCUGUCUCAAAAUUUAAAAAGGGCUGAGGGAUGUACCUCAGAGCAAAAGCCCUGGGUUCAAUCCAUAGCACCCCCAAAAAAAAGUGCAGAGAGGGGAGAACAGAGAGUGAUUGUACUGAGGGUGCACAUCAGUUGACGAGGCCAGAGUAUCCACAGAAUUUGGAGGUCAGAGAGCUGGAUGAGGACAUGGGAACAAAUGGAGGAGGUGGUCAGACACUGAGGCACAUGGGACAGAAACAGGGGGCUGCAGUUGCUAUGGUCAUCUGAGGUGACCCUGGGCACUUGGCCAGGCAGAGUGGAGGAUCACAGGAGGUCCAUGGCUGAGGAACCAGGAGGACCAUGCAUGCGUGGCUCUGCGACCGGCGAGAAAUAAGGUGGCUUGUGCUCAGGAGUGUGGCAUGAGCUGGCAGUAGACAUGAAAAGCUAGGGUGACAUGAAAAACUACAGGCAAGGCA